CGGGACGGGUGAGUAAUGUCUGGGAAACUGCCUGAUGGAGGGGGAUAAUUACUGGAAACGGUAGCUAAUACCGCAUAACGUCGCAAGACCAAAGAGGGGGACCUUCGGGCCUCUUGCCAUCGGAUGUGCCCAGAUGGGAUUAGCUAGUAGGUGGGGUAACGGCUCACCUAGGCGACGAUCCCUAGCUGGUCUGAGAGGAUGACCAGCCACACUGGAACUGAGACACGGUCCAG
rnacentral:rRNA from 1 species